GACGAACGCUGGCGGCGUGCCUAAUACAUGCAAGUUGAGCGCUGAAGGUUGGUACUUGUACCAACUGGAUGAGCAGCGAACGGGUGAGUAACGCGUGGGGAAUCUGCCUUUGAGCGGGGGACAACAUUUGGAAACGAAUGCUAAUACCGCAUAAAAACUUUAAACACAAGUUUUAAGUUUGAAAGAUGCAAUUGCAUCACUCAAAGAUGAUCCCGCGUUGUAUUAGCUAGUUGGUGAGGUAAAGGCUCACCAAGGCGAUGAUACAUAGCCGACCUGAGAGGGUGAUCGGACACAUGGGGAAUGAGACACCGCCCAAACACCUACGGGAGGCAGCAGUAGGGAAUCUUCGGCAAUAGACGAAAGUCUGACAGAGCAACGCCGCGUGAGUGAAGAAGGUUUUCGGAUCGUAAAACUCUGUUGGUAGAGAAGAACGUUGGUGAGAGUGGAAAGCUCAUCAAGUGACGGUAACUACCCAGAAAGGGACGGCUAACUACGUG
rnacentral:rRNA from 1 species